GACGAACGCUGGCGGCGUGCUUAACACAUGCAAGUCGAACGGAAAGGCCCUGCUUUUGUGGGGUGCUCGAGUGGCGAACGGGUGAGUAACACGUGAGUAACCUGCCCUUGACUUUGGGAUAACUUCAGGAAACUGGGGCUAAUACCGGAUAGGAGCUCCUGCUGCAUGGUGGGGGUUGGAAAGUUUCGGCGGUUGGGGAUGGACUCGCGGCUUAUCAGCUUGUUGGUGGGGUAGUGGCUUACCAAGGCUUUGACGGGUAGCCGGCCUGAGAGGGUGACCGGCCACAUUGGGACUGAGAUACGGCCCGGACUCCUACGGGAGGCAGCAGUGGGGAAUAUUGCACAAUGGGCGGAGGCCUGAUGCAGCAACGCCGCGUGCGGGAUGACGGCCUUCGGGUUGUAAACCGCUUUCGCCUGUGACGAAGCGUGAGUGACGGUAAUGGGUAAAGAAGCACCGGCUAACUACGUG
rnacentral:rRNA from 1 species